rnacentral:rRNA from 1 species
ACAACGGAGAGUUUGAUCCUGGCUCAGGAUGAACGCUGGCGGCGUGCUUAACACAUGCAAGUCGAACGAGCCUUCGGGCUAGUGGCGGACGGGUGAGUAACGCGUGGGAAUCUGCCCUCAGGAGGGGGAUAACGGCCGGAAACGGCCGCUAAUACCCCAUAUGCCGAGAGGUGAAAUGAAUUUCGCCUGAGGAUGAGCCCGCGUCUGAUUAGCUAGUUGGUGUGGUAAUGGCGCACCAAGGCGACGAUCAGUAGCUGGUCUGAGAGGAUGAUCAGCCACACUGGGACUGAGACACGGCCCAGACUCCUACGGGAGGCAGCAGUGGGGAAUUUUCCGCAAUGGGCGAAAGCCUGACGGAGCAACGCCGCGUGAGGGAUGAAGGCCUCUGGGCUGUAAACCUCUUUUCUCAAGGAAGAAGACAUGACGGUACUUGAGGAAUAAGCCACGGCUAAUUCCGUGCCAGCAGCCGCGGUAAUACGGGAGUGGCAAGCGUUAUCCGGAAUUAUUGGGCGUAAAGCGUCCGCAGGCGGCCUUGUAAGUCUGUCGUUAAAGCGUGGAGCUUAACUCCAUUUGAGCGAUGGAAACUACAAGGCUUGAGUGUGGUAGGGGCAGAGGGAAUUCCCGGUGUAGCGGUGAAAUGCGUAGAUAUCGGGAAGAACACCAGUGGCGAAGGCGCUCUGCUGGGCCAUAACUGACGCUCAUGGACGAAAGCCAGGGGAGCGAAAGGGAUUAGAUACCCCUGUAGUCCUGGCCGUAAACGAUGAACACUAGGUGUCGGGGGAAUCGACCCCCUCGGUGUCGUAGCUAACGCGUUAAGUGUUCCGCCUGGGGAGUACGCACGCAAGUGUGAAACUCAAAGGAAUUGACGGGGGCCCGCACAAGCGGUGGAGUAUGUGGUUUAAUUCGAUGCAACGCGAAGAACCUUACCAGGGUUUGACAUCCUGCGAAUCCCUUGGAAACGAGGGAGUGCCUUCGGGAGCGCAGAGACAGGUGGUGCAUGGCUGUCGUCAGCUCGUGUCGUGAGAUGUUGGGUUAAGUCCCGCAACGAGCGCAACCCACGUCUUUAGUUGCCAGCAUUCAGUUGGGCACUCUAGAGAGACCGCCGGUGAUAAACCGGAGGAAGGUGUGGAUGACGUCAAGUCAUCAUGCCCCUUACAUCCUGGGCUACACACGUACUACAAUGCUACGGACAAAGGGUUGCAAGCUCGCGAGAGUUAGCUAAUCCCAUAAACCGUGGCUCAGUUCAGAUCGUAGGCUGCAACUCGCCUACGUGAAGGAGGAAUCGCUAGUAAUCGCAGGUCAGCAUACUGCGGUGAAUACGUUCCCGGGCCUUGUACACACCGCCCGUCACACCAUGGAAGUUGGCCAUGCCCGAAGUCGUUACUCCAACCCUUGUGGAGGAGGACGCCGAAGGUGGGGCUGAUGACUGGGGUGAAGUCGUAACAAGGUAGCCGUACCGGAAGGUGCGGCUGGAUCACCUCCUAA